UAACCUUGUAUUUAGAUUUUUAAUUUUGGGUCCAGUUUUCAAAUUGGUCUACAUUAAGGUCCAAAGGGUCCAAAAUUAAACUUUGUUUGAUUUUAACAAAAAUUGAAUAUAUGGGGUUCUUUGGUAUGCUGAAUCGAAACCUGUAUUUAGAUUUUUGAUUUUUGGCCCAGUUUUCAAGUUGGUCCAAGUUGGGGUCCAAAAUUUAACUUUGUUUGAUUUCAACAAAAAUUGAAUAUAUGGGGUUCUUUGAUAUGCUGAAUCUAAACAUGUAUUUAGAUUUUUUAUUUGUGGACCCCGCUAUCAAAUUGGUUCAUAUUGAGGUCAAAAGGGUCCAAAAUUAAACUUUGUUUGAUUUCAUCAAAAAUUGAAUUAUUGGGGUUCUUUGAUAUGCCAAAUCUAACUGUGUUUUUAGAUUUUUAAUUUUGGGUCCUGUUUUUUAAAUUGUCUACAUUAAGGUCCAAAGGGUCCAAAAUUAAAGUUAGUUUGAUUUUAACAAAAAUUGAAUUAUUGGGGUUCUUUGAUAUGCUGAAUCUAAAACAUGUGUUUAGAUUUUUGAUUAUGGGCCCAGUUUUCAAGUUUGUCCAAGUUGGGGUCCAAAAUUAAACUUUGUUUGAUUU